CAACAGUAAACGUUACUUGAACAACUAGGCAAUCUGGAAUAUUUAUGAAUCAAGAAACAGAUUUCCCAACAUCUAAGGAAAUGUGUCUGAACUACUUGCGUCUAAUGGACAUUGCUGUGACUAGAAGAAACAAGUUUUUUUCAGUCUUGGUCUGUCCUGUGUUUUGUGAUAAUCACACCGGAGGAAAUAUUGCAUCAUUUCUUAAUGCAUGCAUUACUAAAUGACAAUAAAAAAGGACUGCGUGUCUUCAUAAUCUAAUAUAGGCUUCGAGUUCUUGUAGAAGUUUAUCCCGAUUUUCAUCUGCCUCCUGGAGCUGCUCGUCAGCAAGAGCCUGUAACUCUUGCAUGUUUCUCAGUCGCUCCUGGAGACCUGCUAUCUUAUUCUUC